GGAAGGAUCAUCAAUGAGAUUGUCGUCUCACGUCAAACUCUGUGAAGGAAGCGGAACGCCUCCAAGAUGGUACCUAGGUCGGCCAGUCCGGUCGCCAGUCCGUUCCGGCUGGCUACACAGUGACUGGCCGGCGAAUGGUCGUCCGGUGCGUCGUUGAAGGCCACUGGGGACCGGUAGGUUCAAAGAGCCAGCUCGUCUCGGCGCCGCCAUCUGACCCAUGACAAAAAAGUGUUGUUGAAGCGAACGAAGAAUGACUGAAUCAUUCCAAGCGGUGGAUCACUCGGCUCAUCAGUCGAUGAAGAGCGCAGCUAGCUGCGUGACUUAAUGCGAAUUGCAGACACAUUGAGCAUCGACAUCUUGAACGCACAUGGCGGCAUCAGAGUUUCGGCUCUGUUGCCACGCCUGUUCGAGGGUUGUACACGUUGAAUGAAAGUCGGUUGCUCAUCCGAGUAGCCGGUCACAGUUGACAGCAGUGACUGACCGCUGACUACCCUGUUAGUAGUUGGUCGCUGGCUGUGGCAAUAGGCGAUGCACGGGCGGUGAACACACCGCCGUGACACGUCUGCCUCCGGCCAGCGGUGGCUGGUCGGCCGUGGAGGAGUCGUGCUGAGUGCUGACAAGACCGUCAAUCUAGUCACUCGCCGACUGCUGUCCACGGUCGACCGCGCUACUGCCGGCCGCGGCGGCGAUGAUCGAUCACCAGUUCAACCUCGAAUCAGACGUGACUACCCGCUGAACUUAAGCAUAUCAGUAGGCGGAGGAAAAGAAACUAACCAGAAUUCCCUGAGUAACGGCGAGUGAAACGGGACAAGCCCAGCACCGAAUCGCACAGCGCCUCGUUGUCGCGACCUGUGGUGUUCAGGUGGUACUAUCCGCCAUUCGCACGUCGGUCUAAGUUUUCCUGACCGAGACUGGCCACAGAAGGUGCAAGCCCUGUGAGACCGCGUGCGGUGGCGGUAUGUGCUUCCGUGGAGUCGAGUUGCAUGAGAUCGCAGCUCAAAGCAGGUGGUAAGCCUCACCUAAGGCUAAAUAUCAUGAUGAGACCGAUAGCGAACAAGUACUGUGAAGGAAAGUUGCAAAGAACUUUGAAGAGAGAGUUCAAGAGGACGUGAAACUGCUUGGAAGGAAACAGGUAGAGUCACUGAAAGUGUGGGUGUUACAGGCUUGAAGGCGGUGGCCGGCUGCUUGUCCGAUCGCAAGACGGACCUGUGGUCGCGCCGCUGUCCUCUGGUUGCAUUUCGCCCACAUGAGCGCCGAGGGCUGUUGAUUGUCCCGUGUUGGCCGGGCGGCUUGACGGACGUCUUUUCGUACCAGGCCGUCCGCGCUACUCGGUGACGGUUAACGGCGAGCACCGUGCCGGUGGUAUGCGGCUGCGUGGUGUCGGUCGUUGUCCAGUUGGGCGAGUACAUGUACGAGUCUGGCUGAGGCGAUUGCUGCGCUGCGCUGUCCGCCGUCAGGCACCACCUCGGUGUACAAGGUGGCCACCUACCUGACCCGUCUUGAAACACGGACCAAGGAGUCUAACAUGCUUGCGAGUGAAUGGGUGAUGUUAAACCCAGACGCGGAAUGAAAGUGAAUUUGCACACGACCCCGCGACUUGCGUGGGUGCAGUGUGGUGGCAUCGCGAUAGCUUGCUAUGCGGUGCACACAGAGCAGUCAUGUUGGGACCCGAAAGAUGGUGAACUAUGCCUGAGCAGGACGAAGCCAGAGGAAACUCUGGUGGAGGUCCGAAGCGGUUCUGACGUGCAAAUCGAUCGUCAGACUUGGGUAUAGGGGCGAAAGACUAAUCGAACCAUCUAGUAGCUGGUUCCCUC
rnacentral:misc_RNA from 1 species